UACGGCGAGUGAGCGGCAAAAGCUCAAAUUUGAAAUCUGGCACCUUCGGUGUCCGAGUUGUAAUUUGAAGAAGGUAACUUUGGAGUUGGCUCUUGUCUAUGUUCCUUGGAACAGGACGUCACAGAGGGUGAGAAUCCCGUGCGAUGAGAUGCCCAAUUCUAUGUAAAGUGCUUUCGAAGAGUCGAGUUGUUUGGGAAUGCAGCUCUAAGUGGGUGGGAAAUUCCAUCUAAAGCUAAAUAUUGGCGAGAGACCGAUAGCGAACAAGUACAGUGAUGGAAAGAUGAAAAGAACUUUGAAAAGAGAGUGAAAAAGUACGUGAAAUUGUUGAAAGGGAAGGGCUUGAGAUCAGACUUGGUAUUUUGCGAUCCUUUCCUUCUUGGUUGGGUUCCUCGCAGCUUACUGGGCCAGCAUCGGUUUGGAUGGUAGGAUAAUGACUAAGGAAUGUGGCUCUACUUCGGUGGAGUGUUAUAGCCUUGGUUGAUACUGCCUGUCUAGACCGAGGACUGCGUCUUUUGACUAGGAUGUUGGCAUAAUGAUCUUAAGCCACCCGUCUU
rnacentral:rRNA from 1 species